ensembl:lncRNA
AUGCAGGAAGCCACGGAAGAAAAGACGAGCAUCAUGGAGAGCAGGCCUGAGCCUGAGGAGUAUCCUGAUGUCCUUCUAACAUAUGGGUCUGAACUUAGGAUCCUGAACACAGAUUUACCCAGCGCUGAAACCGAGCCGCAUCAUGACUCCAUAGGGCACACCUCCUGCACGCACUUGGAGAGAAGAAAACUUCUCGAGCCUGGAUUUCGACUGCAGUGUCCCCUCCCGUUGGGACAUAAAGAACCCGGCGCUGAGUCUGAGGACUGCUUGGUCACACUUGGCCUACUUUCAGGACAUGCUGACCUGCCAGAGGAACCGGAGCUAACAGAUGGACUCAGCUACCCAGCGACAAGCCCCGACUCCCACGGUGAGGCUGAGCCCUCGAACCCUGACCUUCACAGAGCAGCUGGACCAAUGACUCUCGGCCUGCACAGUUUGCUAAAUCCUGACCCCCUUAAUCCACCAAGUCGUGACCUCUACAGGGAGAUCCGGUUGGCAAGCCCUCGUCUCCAAGCCCUCACCUCCAUCAACCCUGACCUCUCGGAUGCCGUGGAGCCUGAUGAAGAGAAUUGUCUGUGCCCAGUCUGUCACGAGGUUUACAGCAGUCCCCAUGAUCAGGUGGCCUUGCUGAACUGCGACCACGCUGUUUGCCACGGCUGCCUGGUGAAGAUGCUCCGGCGGGCAGCGGACCCCGGCCGCGUUCGGUGCCCCCUCUGCCGACAGCACACCCCCGUCCCGCAGUGGGAGGUGCGGAGACUGCACCACGACGUUGGGUGCCACACGUCCAGCUCCGACGCUCAGGCAGCGACCGUCGCUCUGGAUCCCGAGCCGGCCGAUCGCUCAGGCCAGGGCCGGUGUGCGGCGUUCGAGCUGUGGCUGCUGUCUCGUGUAGAGGGGCCGGUUGCCUGUGGGUGUUUCUCGCACCCGCGCUGCCUUCUUCAGGCUGUCCGCCGGCCACGUCAGGGGUGCCGUUGUUUCUCCGUGACGCUGCUGGCGGUUCUGUACAUGGCGGAGCUCAGCCUGCUGCUCCUUGUCUUCCUCCCCAUUGUGGUUUUAGUGCUGCUGUUCACACUGACCAACAGAUAG